CAUGCUGAGAAUUCAACCAAGCACUGGUUGUCCAUUUACCAACUCAUAGAGAGAUACCUACAGGAGCAGAGGACAGACUCCAGACAUGAUGAUGGUGUGGAGUAUCUUUCCCUCUCGUCAGUUUCAUCCACCCUGCAGGCCUUCAUUGAAGGCUCCACCUUAGGAGAGUUUUCUGUCCGCUUGUCCAUGUUGCUUGGUUUUCACUGCCACGUCCUGCUGGCUCCCAAACAGGAAGGACAUGACUCGCUCUGCAGUUUGCUGUGGAAUCUCUAUAAAUAUUACACCCAGUUCUCAGAGAGCAUCCAGAACAAGAUCACCCAGCUGAGGUCUCCUAUAGAGAAAGAGCUCAAAGACUUUGUCAAAAUCUCCAAGUGGAAUGAUGUCAGUUUUU